AUGCGUACUUGUCAGAGGAGACGCCAUGAUCACGAAGGAAGUUUUCCCAGGCGGUGCUCAUCCAUUGCACUCAGGACGUGCUGACCCUUGCGAUUUCCCCACUUGUGGGAAACUUGACUGCAUAAUUUGUGGUAGUGGGUACUGUGUUCUCGCUUUCCCUGA
rnacentral:snRNA from 2 species